GAUGAACGCUGGCGGCGUGCCUAAUACAUGCAAGUCGAACGAGUUCUGGUUUAUGAUGGCGGUGCUUGCACCAAUAGAUUAAACAUUUGAACGAGUGGCGGACGGGUGAGUAACACGUGGGUAACCUGCCCUAAAGUGGGGGAUAACAUUUGGAAACAGAUGCUAAUACCGCAUAAACCUCAAAAGCACAUGCUUUUGAGUUGAAAGAUGGCGUAAGCUAUCGCUUUUGGAUGGACCCGCGGCGUAUUAGCUAGUUGGUGAGGUAAAGGCUCACCAAGGCUGUGAUACGUAGCCGACCUGAGAGGGUAAUCGGCCACAUUGGGACUGAGACACGGCCCAAACUCCUACGGGAGGCAGCAGAGGGGAAUAUUGCACAAUGGGCGAAAGCCUGAUGCAGCGACGCCGCGUGAGGGAAGAAGGUUUUCGGAUUGUAAACCUCUGUCUUAGGGGACGAAAAUGACGGUACCCGAGGAGGAAGCCACGGCUAACUACGUGCCAGCAGCCGCCGUAAAAC
rnacentral:rRNA from 1 species